rnacentral:rRNA from 1 species
AGUGAACGCUGGCGGUAGGCCUAACACAUGCAAGUCGAACGGCAGCACAGUAAGAGCUUGCUCUUACGGGUGGCGAGUGGCGGACGGGUGAGGAAUACAUCGGAAUCUACUUUUUCGUGGGGGAUAACGUAGGGAAACUUACGCUAAUACCGCAUACGACCUACGGGUGAAAGCAGGGGAUCUUCGGACCUUGCGCGAUUGAAUGAGCCGAUGUCGGAUUAGCUAGUUGGCGGGGUAAAGGCCCACCAAGGCGACGAUCCGUAGCUGGUCUGAGAGGAUGGUCAGCCACACUGGAACUGAGACACGGUCCAGACUCCUACGGGAGGCAGCAGUCGGGAAUAUUGGGCAAUGGGCGCAAGCCUGAUCCAGCCAUACCGCGUGGGUGAAGAAGGCCUUCGGGUUGUAAAGCCCUUUUGUUGGUAAAGAAAAGCAGCAGGUUAAUACCCCGCUGUUCUGACGGUACCCAAAGAAUAAGCACCGGCUAACUUCGUG